rnacentral:rRNA from 1 species
GACGAACGCUGGCGGCGUGCUUAACACAUGCAAGUCGAACGAAGUGGCGAACGGGUGAGUAACGCGGAAUCACCCUGCCCUUCAGUGGGGGACAACAGUUGGAAACGACUGCUAAUACCGCAUACUGAAGGAGGGGAUUGGGUCGGAUUAGCUGGUUGGAGGGGUAACGGCCUACCAAGGCGAUCAUGAGUAGCCGGACUGAGGAGAUGAAGUGCCCCAUUGGGACGGGGACACGGCCCAGAUUCCCACGGGAGGCAGCCGUGGGGGACCUUCCGCAAAGGACGAAAGGCUGACGGAGCAACGCCGCGUGAGUGAUUACGGCCUUCCGGUUGUAAAGCUCUGUUAAUCAGGACGCGGUACCGGAAUAGAAAGCCACGGCUAACUACGUGCCAGCAGCCGCGGUAAUUC